rnacentral:rRNA from 1 species
ACGCCUUGUAGUAGCAACGACAAAUAUCUCUCCGCCGCUGCCACACGGGUGUGCAUCGGAGAUGGAAACAAAGCUAAGUUCUGGGAAUCUCCAUGGCUGGCCGGCCUCCGCCCUAAAGACAUUGCACCAAAGAUUUUUGAGUUGUCAAAAAAGAAAACGUGCCUGGUCAGGAAAGCUCUUGACAAUAACCUUUGGAUCCGCCAUAUUGACACUCAGCAGGGGCUAACCUUGGCCCAUAUUCAGGAAUUUGCAACCAUGUGGGGGAUGCUUGCUGAUGUAACCCUCAACCAGGGAAGCCAAGACACCAUAACUUGGAAGUUCACAAACAAUAGCGAGUACUCUGCCUCCUCGGCUUACAUGACGCAAUUUGCCGGUCUCUCCUUGUGUCCAAUGAAUGCUACAAUCUGGAAGACGUGGGCUCCAACGAAGUGCAAAUUUUUUGCUUGGUUGAUCUUCCAACAUCGUUUUUGGACAACUAAUCAUUUACUGCGGCGAGGCUGA